AGGAGUUCAUUAGAAGAUGAUAAUUUAUGAUGAAAAAUAUCAAAAUAACUUUUAUUAAUUUAUAAUUCAUGUACUAAUACAACAAAGAGCACAACCAUCAACAGACUGACGAUUGGCUUUGGGACACUAUUCCCAACAUAAAACACCCUAUAUCAUAAUGUAUCACAAAAUAUCAUAAAUUUUUGUAAUACAUCACUAUUGUCCAAAGAUAGCAACCC
rnacentral:lncRNA from 1 species